rnacentral:rRNA from 1 species
CAGUCGCCGCGGGAAUACGGAGGGCGCGAGCGUUACCCGGAUUUACUGGGCGUAAAGGGCGUGUAGGCGGCCUGGGGCGUCCCAUGUGAAAGGCCACGGCUCAACCGUGGAGGAGCGUGGGAUACGCUCAGGCUAGAGGGUGGGAGAGGGUGGUGGAAUUCCCGGAGUAGCGGUGAAAUGCGCAGAUACCGGGAGGAACGCCGAUGGCGAAGGCAGCCACCUGGUCCACUUCUGACGCUGAGGCGCGAAAGCGUGGGGAGCAAACCGGAUUAGAGACCCCCGUAGUCCCUGUCUCUUAUAC